rnacentral:rRNA from 1 species
CAUCCCGACUUACCAACCCGAUGCAAACUGCGAAUACCGGAGAAUGUUAUCACGGGAGACACACGGCGGGUGCUAACGUCCGUCGUGAAGAGGGAAACAACCCAGACCGCCAGCUAAGGUCCCAAAGUCAUGGUUAAGUGGGAAACGAUGUGGGAAGGCCCAGACAGCCAGGAUGUUGGCUUAGAAGCAGCCAUCAUUUAAAGAAAGCGUAAUAGCUCACUGGUCGAGUCGGCCUGCGCGGAAGAUGUAACGGGGCUAAACCAUGCACCGAAGCUGCGGCAGCGACGCUUAUGCGUUGUUGGGUAGGGGAGCGUUCUGUAAGCCUGUGAAGGUGUGCUGUGAGGUAUGCUGGAGGUAUCAGAAGUGCGAAUGCUGACAUAAGUAACGAUAAAGCGGGUGAAAAGCCCGCUCGCCGGAAGACCAAGGGUUCCUGUCCAACGUUAAUCGGGGCAGGGUGAGUCGACCCCUAAGGCGAGGCCGAAAGGCGUAGUCGAUGGGAAACAGGUUAAUAUUCCUGUACUUGGUGUUACUGCGAAGGGGGGACGGAGAAGGCUAUGUUGGCCGGGCGACGGUUGUCCCGGUUUAAGCGUGUAGGCUGGUUUUCCAGGCAAAUCCGGAAAAUCAAGGCCGAGGCGUGAUGACGAGGCACUACGGUGCUGAAGCAACAAAUGCCCUGCUUCCAGGAAAAGCCUCUAAGCAUCAGGUAACAUCAAAUCGUACCCCAAACCGACACAGGUGGUCAGGUAGAGAAUACCAAGGCGCUUGAGAGAACUCGGGUGAAGGAACUAGGCAAAAUGGUGCCGUAACUUCGGGAGAAGGCACGCUGAUACGUAGGUGAAGCGACUUGCUCGUGGAGCUGAAAUCAGUCGAAGAUACCAGCUGGCUGCAACUGUUUAUUAAAAACACAGCACUGUGCAAACACGAAAGUGGACGUAUACGGUGUGACGCCUGCCCGGUGCCGGAAGGUUAAUUGAUGGGGUUAGCGCAAGCGAAGCUCUUGAUCGAAGCCCCGGUAAACGGCGGCCGUAACUAUAACGGUCCUAAGGUAGCGAAAUUCCUUGUCGGGUAAGUUCCGACCUGCACGAAUGGCGUAAUGAUGGCCAGGCUGUCUCCACCCGAGACUCAGUGAAAUUGAACUCGCUGUGAAGAUGCAGUGUACCCGCGGCAAGACGGAAAGACCCCGUGAACCUUUACUAUAGCUUGACACUGAACAUUGAGCCUUGAUGUGUAGGAUAGGUGGGAGGCUUUGAAGUGUGGACGCCAGUCUGCAUGGAGCCGACCUUGAAAUACCACCCUUUAAUGUUUGAUGUUCUAACGUGGACCCGUGAUCCGGGUUGCGGACAGUGUCUGGUGGGUAGUUUGACUGGGGCGGUCUCCUCCUAAAGAGUAACGGAGGAG